ensembl:lncRNA
UUUCUGUUCCUCCAGCUCCAUGUUGGGGUUUCCCCCAAAAGUCAGGGGUUCCCCCGAGAGUCGGGUUGUGUUUAAUGCUGUCCCUCCAGCUCCAUGUUGGGGUUCCCCCCCAAAGUCAGGGGUUAUUUUUAAUGCUGUCCCUCCAGCUCCAUGUUGGGGUUCCCCCCCAGAGUCAGGGGUUGUUUAAUGCUGUCCCUCCAGCUCCAUAUUGGGGUUCCCCCCCAGAGUCAGGGGUUCCCCCGAGAGUCAGGGUUGUUUUAAUGCUGUCCCUCCAGCUCCAUGUUGGGGUUCCCCCCCAGAGUCAGGGGUUCCCCCGAGUCAGGGGUUGUUUAAUGCUGUCCCUCCAGCUCCAUGUUGGGGUUCCCCCCCAGAGUCAGGGGUUCCCCCGAGAGUCAGGGGUUAUUUUUAAUGCUGUCCCUCCAGCUCCAUGUUGGGGUUCCCCCCCAGAGUCAGGGGUUCCCCCGAGUCAGGGGUUGUUUAAUGCUGUCCCUCCAGCUCCAUGUUGGGGUUCCCCCCCAGAGUCAGGGGUUGUGUUUAAUGCUGUCCCUCCAGCUCUCCAUGUUAGGCUUGUAGACCGGGGGCCUCUUCCUGGGUCGCUGCUGGUGCUUCACUGUCUUUGGGGAAUCGGGCCCGCUCUGUGGCCGCGUGGUUCCAUCAUGGAGUCGAGCCUUUCCACCUUGUUCACAAGCGCAGCACGAGGAGCCUCCGACAAGGCCAGCCCGGCUCCCGACGCGCUUCUCUCUCUAGCACGGGGGGUUCGAGGCCUUCUCGCGGAUAAGCUUUGGAAUAUUCUCAGAAACCCGCGAACUUUGGUACUUUCAUUUUCUUGCUGAGGCAAUUGGGGCUAAGGGACUCGCCCCGCGGCGGGAGCGCUAAGUGUCUGAGGCCAGAUUUGAGCUCGGGUCCCGCGGCUUCCCCGCCCCCCCCAUCCGCCGCCGGGAGGCCUCUCCCUCAGCCCCCCGGGAUUUCCGCCGGAGGCCGCUGCCCCUGCCCGUGACCUCGCGAGACCUCCCGGGACCCGCCGCCGCCUCCGCGGGGAUCCCGCCGCCGCCUCCGGGGCCCGCUCAGCGUUAACGGGCCCAGUUCUCCGCGUUCCACGUCGUUAAGGGAGCGGGGGCGCCCCCUGCUGGGGGAGGGCGGCUAUGCGCGCAGCAUGGCCCACGUAGCCAGUGGGUCCCUCGGGGCCGCCUUUCUGGCCGCUCCCCGGCGCGGGGGCCACGGGCAGGGCGCACGAGGCAGGCCCCCGUAACGGCCACAGGGACGCCGCCAUUCCCGGGCCAGAGCGGAGCAGGAGCAGACGUCGGAACGGGGGCUGUCGGGAAAAAGCCUGCGCCAGGGUUCUCAGCGCGCUGCAGGAAGCCGAGGUUCCCAGAGGCCGGGGUAGGAGGAGGGCGGGGCCGCAAACGGCCGGCGGAGCGAGCCGGGAUAGGCCGCAAGCCCGACUCCGCAGGGGCGAAUUGUCCGGAGGCGUCGCGGGGCGUCCGUUUGCGCGCAGGGGGGGCCGUGACGCUGCCCCCGUGGCGGCGGGCGGGGGCGGCCUUCCCUGCCAGCGCUCCCCGCUACUUCUCCGGGUCCCGACGUCCCGCCGCCGCCGCCGCCGCCGCCUUCUUCCAGUCUUUUAGAUGAGAUACAAUAAACGAGCUCACACCUGGGAGCACCGCGUGUGCGGGAUCACCGUGUGAUCGCUUCCAACCCCCUCCCCCACACACACCGACCCCACCAGCCGAUGCCGCUCCCGGCCUUUCCCCAGACGUUCUGCGCCUUCCUCAGACCGCUUAGCCCCCUCCCCCCCUUGUGCUUCCGGGGUCACCUCUGCUGCGCUUACAUGGGAGGCAUUUCCCUCCGGGUGGGAGACGCAGGCCCCGCCCCGCCGGCGGAGCCGCUUUCAUUAAAGGGAGGAGCUGUCGCCGCAGGCCCCGCCCAGGCGCUGACUGACGGGCAGCACCUCCCUUGGGCCCCGGCGGCCAGCGGGCCACGCAUCCAGGCCGGCAGCCGAGCCCCGUCUGCGGCCUUGCUCACGAAUCCUUUUUGUUUCAUCGCGUACAGACUCCGUCUCUGCCGGGGGCUGCAACGGGCCUGUGUCCCAAAGAGGCCGCGCGGGGGCGCAAGGGUGUCAGCGGGGGGGGAGGGGGGGGCGGAUGGCGCGCGGUGGGAGCGCGGUGGGAGCUUGUUCUGUGAGACGGGACCGGCGGGAGGCGGUGCUGAGGGAGGGGGCGGGGCCGGGAGGGCCCCCGCGGGGCUCUGCCACCAGGAGGCGACGUAGUUUCACCACCUCGCGCCGGGAGAGACGGGACUGAGGCGGCUCCCUACAAGCCGUUCCCGCCUUCCCGGCGGCCGCUCGCGCUUGUUUCUUUCUCAUCGCCCUUUAGAGCUGCUUUUUCUCGUGGGGCGAGGUCGCGGCGCCGACGCGUGUGCGCGCGCUGCGUGUUUUACCUGCCACGGGGGGGGGUCGUUUCGGCCUGGACCGGAAAGGGGAGGGGGGGAGGGGAGAAGAGGGAGAGGAGGGAGAGGGGGGAGGAGGGAGAGGGGGGAGGGGAACCUUGGAACGCAAGGUCUUGUAAGAGUCAGUGCUGGAAACUUGCCCGGAUGUUCCGAAAACGCAAAACUGACAAGAAAAGCAACGCGAAGACUCCUUAGAGCGCAAGGAGCCCACCGAGGGGUGUGGCCGGUGCUCUCGUUCUCUUUUCUUGCGGUUCCAGCUUUUAAAGCCAUCUCACCGCCCGGAUAGUGGGAGGGGCCGUUUUCGCAGCUUCGCCGCCACGGGGGCUUCUCGUUUCUACCUCUGGCUUCUUGAUGCCCGGAUACGGGUCAUCAAACUGCUCUGGAACUGAUUUUGCGGCACGGAGCCUCUGGCGCCCGGUGCCCUCCUCAUGCAAGAAGGACUGAGCUCUGAGAGCGAAGCAGAAGAAAAAUGGCUCAAAAGAAAGGUCGGGUGCGCGCAUUGAGCUGGUGCAGCCCAGGUGUGAACACGGACACACGGAAUGUGUGCCUGGCCCGGAGCAGAACCUUUUUUUGUCGUCGGUGACUUACAAUCAAUGUCUAAUGUACAGCGUGACAAUGUCUCCCUCCCCGCCCCUUUUUGAAAAGUAAUUGUAACUUUUUAUGGACAGAGCCCAUGCCGGGGUAGUGCUUCACACCGUUGUCCCUUGCACUCGCUUCUGUUCCGCCUCCCCCCUCCUCCCUCUCUCCCUCUCCCCGCCCCCCUCCCUCCCUCUCCCCUCCCUCCUCCUC